rnacentral:rRNA from 1 species
UACGUAGGGGGCAAGCGUUGUCCGGAUUCAUUGGGCGUAAAGAGCGUGUAGGCGGCCAGGUAGGUCGGUUGUGAAAACUGGAGGCUCAACCUUCAGAGGUCGACCGAAACCAUCUGGCUAGAGUCCGGGAGAGGAGAGUGGAAUUCCUGGUGUAGCGGUGAAAUGCGCAGAUAUCUGGAGGAACACCGGUGGCGAAGGCGGCUUCUGGACAAAUACCGACGCUGAGGCACGAAAGCUAGGGGAGCAAACAGG